AAAAUUUAGUUAAAAAAAUAACAUUAGCCUGUCAUGCUAAAAUUGUAUAUAAAAACAUAAUUACAAUUUUUA
rnacentral:tRNA from 1 species